GAGCUAGAUUCCUAAGCCUAUUCACAAAAGUCUAUUUGGUCUUUAAUGGAAAUGAAAUAAUAAUGCCAUUAAAUGGAACAAUUCCAACAAAGACUGUGAGAGAAAAGAGGAAAAUGCAGUGGUUGACGUCUUCAAGUGUUGGCAUUGUGGUGAUUUUUCCCUUUUAAAAGUCCCUUCCCUUUUUAUUGUUUUCUGUGAAGUGAAAAUAAAAACCAGGACAGGAGACCACCUUACACAUCACUCUAACCAUCUUUCUCUGGCAGGACCCCAGGGCCCUUUGCCAUGGGCACAACAACUGGAGCCCUGGCAUGAAUCCUACAAGGACAGGAACUUCCCCUCCCACCACUGGCCCCAACCUGGAUCCCUGCAGGUAAGCGUGCCAGCUAUAGAUGGAAUGGGAAAAGUACAUUUCUGCUUUCUCUUACAUCAGCAUUCAUCAAAUUGCUCCUGGAUACAGAGAAGGAGCUGCAGUCAUCAAAUGCUUUGGAGCCAGAAAACGGGAGGGUUGUAGCUGACCGUGAGGGAAUAGCAGUUCCCUGGAGGAAAAAGACUUGGAGGCCAGCCCCUUCCUGUCCUGACUGGAUGUGCCUUGCUGUUGGGAGACUCCUGGGAGAGUCAGGAGCCCUGACCCCAGUUUCUUCAUCGAGUCAACACGGAGAUGGUGUAGAUCCCCUUCUAAAUGCCUGUACUCUCAGUGUUGCUAAUGUUACCUGUCCCCAUUCUCCACUAGGGCUCAUUCAUUUCUUCUGUCUCAUAUAUUCAGGUGUUGAAGACAAGAGAAGAAUGAAUCAAAAUGUUGAGGGAAAAAU
rnacentral:lncRNA from 1 species